GGCAUUCAUAUUGACUUGCAAAACUGAAACUGAAAACUGAAUAAACAUAUUAUAUGUGUAAUUUAAUUAGUGAAAUGUCCAAAUGGAUGGAAAGUGUUUGGUAACCGCUCCUAUUACGUCUCAACGGAGAAAAAUAACUGGGAAUAUGCCAACCAGGACUGUCUGAAGAGAGGGGCACAGCUAGUCAUCAUAAACAACCAAGAGGAACAGAAAUUCCUAAUUACAUUAAACAUACGUUCUUGGAUCGGUCUGACUGACCGUGAGACUGAGGGGACCUGGAAAUGGGUGGACGACACACCUCUGACUACAGCGUACUGGGGUGACAGAGAGCCUAAUAAUGGUGAUGGUAAAAAUGGAGAGGAGGACUGUGCAGAGAUUAAUAGUUGGUAUAGUGAUCCUGUAAAGAAAUGGAAUGAUUUUU